AAGCAUGCUAUCCUAAGGACCCGGGCUUGUUGUGUAGCUCUCGGUUCUCCAAGUGCGUGCUAGAAAACCGGGUGGUCUUUGACUGUUGUGGCUUCUUGUGCCAUCAGCAGCCACUCAGCUGUCCAACAGUU